GGUGGGGUGUUACAGAGAAGAUGUAGAAAACUUUGAUUUUCAUAAAGUUAACCAACUGUCAACUGAAUUAAGACUUCUUCACAGCAUCAUUAGCAGGAUUAUUUUCCUUAAGAUCGGCAAAUUUGAUUAGAUUUUCAAGAUGGAACUUGAUGUCAUGCACCAUUUGUUUGAAGGGAGGACUAUGAACUUGCCGUUUAUGAUGUUAGAGCAAAUCAAGUGCUGCCAACAGAUACAAAAUCAAAGCCUGUCUUCUCUAUGGAAUGGUAUUCACUCUAGUCUUUGUGGAUGCACAAAUUGAGUUGGAGGAUGAAGAUUUCAAGACUCUCAC
rnacentral:lncRNA from 1 species